rnacentral:misc_RNA from 1 species
AAAGUAAUCACUAUAAAUAUCUCAGCCCAAUCCUUCAAGUAGAUGAAGGAUGUGAGGAGGAUUGUAAUACCCCUCACCCGUUUACAGCGUAGCCGAGCAAGGUGUGCCAUAUUCGGUGCCUGAACGUCCUAUCUUAUCCUAUCAUGGCCAUUGUUAAUUUUUAAACUUUAUAGAAAACAUGUGGUAAUAUUUUUUUAUCACAGUUUAUUUCUGUGGAAAUCCGG